GUGGGGAAUCUUCCGCAAUGGACGAAAGUCUGACGGAGCAACGCCGCGUGAGUGAAGAAGGUUUUCGGAUCGUAAAGCUCUUUCGUUAGGGACGAACGUGCUCUUUGUGAAUAAUGAGGAGUAAUGACGGUACCUAAAUAAGAAGCCACGGCUAACUACGUGCCAGCAGCCGCGGUAAUACGUAGGUGGCAAGCGUUGUCCGGAAUUAUUGGGCGUAAAGCGCGCGCAGGCGGGAUAUCAAGUCUGUCUUAAAAGUGCGAGGCUCAACCUCGUGAGGGGACAGAAACUGGUAUUCUUGAGGGUCGGAGAGGAAAGUGGAAUUCCAAGUGUAGCGGUGAAAUGCGUAGAGAUUUGGAAGAACACCAGUGGCGAAGGCGACUUUCUGGACGAUGUCUGACGCUGAGGCGCGAAAGCUAGGGGAGCGAACGGGAUUAGAAACCCGGGUAGUCC
rnacentral:rRNA from 1 species